rnacentral:siRNA from 1 species
CCGUCUUUGAGUUGUGCGAUGC